rnacentral:rRNA from 1 species
GACGAACGCUGGCGGCGUGCUUAACACAUGCAAGUCGAACGGCAAGGCCCUGCUUUUGUGGGCUGCUCGAGUGGCGAACGGGUGAGUAUCACGUGUGUAACCUGCCCUUGUCUUUCGGAUAACUUCAGGAAACUGGGCCUAAUACCGGAUAGGAGCUCCUGUUGCAGUGUGGGGGUUGGAAAUUUUCGGCGGGUGGGGAUGGACGCGCGGCUUAUCAGCUUGUUGGUGGGGUAGGGGCUUACCAAGGCUUUGACGGGUAGCCGGCCUGAGAGGGUGACCGGCCACAGUGGGACUGAGGUACGGCCCAGACUGCUACGGGAGGCAGCAGUGGGGAAUAUUGCACAAUGGGACGAAGCCUGAGGCAGAAACGCCGCGUGCGGGAUGACGGCCUUUGGGUUGUAAACAGCAUUAGCCUGUGACGAAGCGUGAGUGACGGUACUGGGUAAAGAAGCACCGGCUAACUACGUG